rnacentral:rRNA from 1 species
AACGUAGGAGACAAACGUUAUCCGGAGUUACUGGGCGUAAAGGGCGUGUAGGUGGUAGUGUAAGUCUGGCGUGAAAUUUUUCGGCUUAACCGGGAAAGGUCGUCGGAUACUGCACAACUAGAGGACGGUAGAGGCGUGUGGAAUUCCGGGUGUAGCGGUGGAAUGCGUAGAGAUCCGGAAGAACACCGGUGGCGAAGGCGGCCUGCUGGGCAGUGGCUGACACUGAGGCGCGACAGCGUGGGGAGCAAACAGG